rnacentral:rRNA from 1 species
UGCCUUGAAGAUCGGAGUGCUUGCACUCUGUGAAACAAGAUACAGGCUAGCGGCGGACGGGUGAGUAACACGUGGGUAACCUGCCCAAGAGAUCGGGAUAACACCUGGAAACAGAUGCUAAUACCGGAUAACAACAGAUGAUGCCUAUCAACUGUUUAAAAGAUGGUUCUGCUAUCACUCUUGGAUGGACCUGCGGUGCAUUAGCUAGUUGGUAGGGUAACGGCCUACCAAGGCGAUGAUGCAUAGCCGAGUUGAGAGACUGAUCGGCCACAUUGGGACUGAGACACGGCCCAAACUCCUACGGGAGGCAGCAGUAGGGAAUCUUCCACAAUGGACGCAAGUCUGAUGGAGCAACGCCGCGUGAGUGAAGAAGGGUUUCGGCUCGUAAAGCUCUGUUGUUGGUGAAGAAGGACAGGGGUAGUAACUGACCUUUGCUUGACGGUAAU